ACAGGUAAAUCACCUGUUGUGAUUCAAUGCUUUGGGGAGGAAGGGCUAAAUUGUCAAUAUUUACUCAGUAAUCUUUGGAUAAUCUCAUCAUUUUAUGGGUGUCAGUUCCGGGAUUCAGGCAUUCAUCAAUAGAUAUUAUUUCACUUGCACUGGGAGGAAAGGUAAAUUGUUUAUAACAUCACUGAUAGUGGAAACGGUUGUAAAGAGAAAGUAGCACAAGUACAUUGUGUUGUUCAGGCUAUAUAUUUAAUAUGGAAUCUGUGCCUCCAAAAUGCAUAAUUAUUUGUUAUUUUAUUAUCAGAAUGACAAAAAAAAGAGGCAAAUUAGGAUUAACUGUGUGAAGGCAGUUGUAAACGGUUGUACAGACUGCAUAAUGAAAUAUAAGCAUUGAAUUUGGUGUAUAACAUAAAGCACAAGGUAGAAAGUCUAAAGGAAGUAGAUGAUGAAGUAAUCAAGUAAAGUUCACUAAUAGAAUGCAGGUUUAUUUUGGAUCUUUGUAUACAUUAAGAGUUCCAAGAAAAUUCCUCUGUUGAGGUUUU
rnacentral:sRNA from 1 species